AGCUUACUGGUAGAGCACAUGUCUUGCAUAUAUGAGGCCCUGGGUUUGAUCCCCAG
rnacentral:tRNA from 1 species